AGAGUUUGAUCAUGGCUCAGAGUGAACGCUGGCGGCGUGCUUAACACAUGCAAGUCGAACGAGAACGGGUAUUAGCUUGCUAUCUGUCAGCUAAGUGGCGCACGGGUGAGUAAUAUAUAGUUAACCUGCCCUAGAGAAGGGGAUAACGUUUGGAAACGGACGCUAACACCCUAUAUGCCUUUAAUACAUAAGUAUGCAAGGGAAACAUUUAUGGCUCUAGGAUGGGACUGUACGGUAUCAGUUAGUUGGUGAGGUAAUGGCUCACCAAGACAAUGACACCUAACUGGUUUGAGAGGAUGAUCAGUCACACUGGAACUGAGACACGGUCCAGACUCCUACGGGAGGCAGCAGUGGGGAAUAUUGCACAAUGGACGAAAGUCUGAUGCAGCAACGCCGCGUGGAGGAUGACACAUUUCGGUGCGUAAACUCCUUUUAUAUAGGAAGAUAAUGACGGUACUAUAUGAAUAAGCACCGGCUAACUCCGUGCCAGCAGCCGCGGUAAUACGGAGGGUGCAAGCGUUACUCGGAAUCACUGGGCGUAAAGAGCGUGUAGGCGGAUUAAUAAGUUGGAAGUGAAAUCCUAUGGCUCAACCAUAGAACUGCUUUCAAAACUGUUUAUCUAGAAUAUGGGAGAGGUAGAUGGAAUUUCUGGUGUAGGGGUAAAAUCCGUAGAGAUCAGAAGGAAUACCGAUUGCGAAGGCGAUCUACUGGAACAUUAUUGACGCUGAGACGCGAAAGCGUGGGGAGCAACAGGAUUAGAUACCCUGGUAGUCCACGCCCUAAACGAUGCCACUAGUUGUUGCGAGGCUAGACCUUGCAGUAAUGCAGUUAACACAUUAGUGUGCGCCUGGGGAGUACGGUCGCAAGAUUAAAACUCAAAGGAUUAAACGGG
rnacentral:rRNA from 1 species